rnacentral:rRNA from 1 species
UACGUAGGUGGCAAGCGUUGUCCGGAUUUACUGGGCGUAAAGAGCGCGCAGGCGGUCGUUCAAGUCGCGUGUGAAAGCCCCCGGCUCAACUGGGGAGGGUCACGCGAUACUGAUCGACUCGAAGGCAGGAGAGGGAAGUGGAAUUCCCGGUGUAGCGGUGAAAUGCGCAGAUAUCGGGAGGAACACCAGUAGCGAAGGCGGCUCGCUGGGCCGUUCCUGACGCUGAGACGCGAAAGCUAGGGGAGCGAACAGG